GCAACUCGCCUGCAUGAAGGCGGAAUUGCUAGUAAUCGCGGAUCAGCAUGCCGCGGUGAAUACGUUCCCGGGCCUUGUACACACCGCCCGUCACACCAUGAGAGUUGGCAACACCCGAAGUCAGCAGGCAAACAGUGAAGCCGCUGCCGAAGGUGGGGUUGAUGAUUGGGGUGAAGUCGUAACAAGGUAGC
rnacentral:rRNA from 1 species